ACAGGUGCAUUAUUGCAUGUUUAUAAACAAAGUAAGCAAAGCACAGCUAAUUCUUGGAGUUUAAAACAAAAGAACAGAGGCUAUGAAGUGAAUUUUGUGUUUAGAAACUCUCCAAUAAAAGGCUGACACAAGUGCCUUUCUGAAAGAACCUUUCUGAGGGAUAGAAAACAAGAUUGCUACAUACUCUAGCCACUUGUACCACCCCCAUCAAACUUAAGCCAAACACGAGAGCGAGUGGCCUACAUGACCAUCCGCACCAUGAAGUGGCAAUGGCUGGAACUGCAAUGAGACUACGGCUGGGCAUGCGACAUCUGUCAACAGUAUGUG
rnacentral:lncRNA from 1 species